rnacentral:rRNA from 1 species
AGAACGAACGCUGGCGGCAGGCCUCAAACAUGCAAGUCUAGGGGGUGUAGCAAUACAUCACCGGCGGACGGGUGCUUAACACGUGGGAAUAUACCUUUUGGUUCGGAACAACGCAGGGAAACUUGCGCUAAUACCGAAUGUGCCCUUACGGGGAAAGAUUUAUCGCCAAAGGAUUAGCCCGCGUAGGAUUAGCUAGUUGGUGAGGUAAUGGCUCACCAAGGCUCCGAUCCUUAGCUGUUCUGAGAGGAAGAUCAGCCACACUGGGACUGAGACACGGCCCAGACUCCUACGGGAGGCAGCAGUUGGGAAUCUUGGACAAUGGGGGAAACCCUGAUCCAGCCAUGCCGCGUGAGUGAUGAAGGCCUUCGGGUUGUAAACUCUUUCGACGGGGACAUAAUGACGGUACCGUAGAGAAGCUCCGGCUAACUCGUGCCAGCAGCCGC